UACGGGGGGGGGCAAGCGUUGUUCGGAAUUACUGGGCGUAAAGGGCCAGUAGGCGGCCAACUAAGUCGGAUGUGAAAUCCCCAGGCUCAACUUGGGAACUGCAUCCGAUACUGGAUGGCUUGAAUUCGGGAGAGGGAUGCAGAAUUCCAGGUGUAGCGGUGAAAUGCGUAGAUAUCAGGAGGAACACCGAUGGCGAAGGCAGAUCUCUGGGCCGUAACUGACGCUGAGGAGCGAAAGCGUGGGGAGCGAACAGG
rnacentral:rRNA from 1 species